rnacentral:rRNA from 1 species
UGUGGUUUAAUUCGAUGAUACGCGAGGACCUUACCAAGACUUAAUGGGAAAUGACAGAUUAGAAAUAGAUCCUUCUUCGACAUUUUUCAAGGUGCUGCAUGGUUGUCGUCAGCUCGUGCCGUGAGGUGUUAGGUUAAGUCCUGCAACGAGCGCAACCCCUGUCACUAGUUGCUAACAUUAAGUUGAGGACUCUAGUGAGACUGCCUACGCAAGUAGAGAGGAAGGUGGGGAUGACGUCAGAUCAUCACGGCCCUUACGUCUUGGGCCACACACGUGCUACAAUGGCCGGUACAGAGGGCAGCUACCUAGUGAUAGGAUGCAAAUCUCGAAAGCCGGUCUCAGUUCGGAUUGGAGUCUGCAACUCGACUCUAUGAAGCUGGAAUCGCUAGUAAUCGCGCAUCAGCCAUGGCGCGGUGAAUACGUUCCCGGGCCUUGUACACACCGCCCGUCAAGCCAUGGAAGCUGGGGGUACCUGAAGUCGGUGACCGUAAAAGGAGCUGCCUAGGGUAAAACUAGUAACUAGGGCUAAGUCGUAACAAGGUAGCCGUAA